AUUGAACGCUGGCGGCAGGCCUAACACAUGCAAGUCGAACGGUAGCACAGAGAGCUUGCUCUCGGGUGACGAGUGGCGGACGGGUGAGUAAUGUCUGGGAAACUGCCUGAUGGAGGGGGAUAACUACUGGAAACGGUAGCUAAUACCGCAUAACGUCGCAAGACCAAAGAGGGGGACCUUCGGGCCUCUUGCCAUCAGAUGUGCCCAGAUGGGAUUAGCUAGUAGGUGGGGUAACGGCUCACCUAGGCGACGAUCCCUAGCUGGUCUGAGAGGAUGACCAGCCACACUGGAACUGAGACACGGUCCAGACUCCUACGGGAGGCAGCAGUGGGGAAUAUUGCACAAUGGGCGCAAGCCUGAUGCAGCCAUGCCGCGUGUAUGAAGAAAGCCUUCGGGUUCGUAAAGGUACUUUCAGCGGGAGGAAGGUGUUGAGGUUAAUAACGUCAGCAAUUGACGUUACCCGCACGAAGAAGCACCGGCUAACUCCGU
rnacentral:rRNA from 1 species